rnacentral:rRNA from 1 species
CCUACGGGAGGCAGCAGUGGGGAAUAUUGCACAAUGGGCGCAAGCCUGAUGCAGCCAUGCCGCGUGUAUGAAGAAGGCCUUCGGGUUGUAAAGUACUUUCAGCGGGGAGGAAGGCGAUAAGGUUAAUAGCCUUGUCGAUUGACGUUACCCGCAGAAGAAGCACCGGCUAACUCCGUGCCAGCAGCCGCGGUAAUACGGAGGGUGCAAGCGUUAAUCGGAAUUACUGGGCGUAAAGCGCACGCAGGCGGUCUGUCAAGUCGGAUGUGAAAUCCCCGGGCUCAACCUGGGAACUGCAUUCGAAACUGGCAGGCUAGAGUCUUGUAGAGGGGGGUAGAAUUCCAGGUGUAGCGGUGAAAUGCGUAGAGAUCUGGAGGAAUACCGGUGGCGAAGGCGGCCCCUGGACAAAGACUGACGCUCAAGUGCGAAAGCGUGGGGAGCAAACAGGAUUAGAUUCCCUGGUAGUCCACGCCGUAAACGAUGUCGACUUGGAGGUUUGUGCCCUUUAAGCGUGGCUUCCGGAAUUAACGCGUUAAGUCGACCGCCUUGGGGAGUUCCGGCCGCAAGGUUAAAACUCAAAGGAAUUGACGG